CUCAUAUUGAACGCUGGCGGCAGGCCUAACACAUGCAAGUCGAACGGUAACAGGAAGAAGCUUGCUUCUUUGCUGACGAGUGGCGGACGGGUGAGUAAUGUCUGGGAAACUGCCUGAUGGAGGGGGAUAACUACUGGAAACGGUAGCUAAUACCGCAUAACGUCGCAAGACCAAAGAGGGGGACCUUCGGGCCUCUUGCCAUCGGAUGUGCCCAGAUGGGAUUAGCUAGUAGGUGGGGUAAAGGCUCACCUAGGCGACGAUCCCUAGCUGGUCUGAGAGGAUGACCAGCCACACUGGAACUGAGACACGGUCCAGACUCCUACGGGAGGCAGCAGUGGGGAAUAUUGCACAAUGGGCGCAAGCCUGAUGCAGCCAUGCCGCGUGUAUGAAGAAGGCCUUCGGGUUGUAAAGUACUUUCAGCGGGGAGGAAGGGAGUAAAGUUAAUACCUUUGCUCAUUGACGUUACCCGCAGAAGAAGCACCGGCUAACUCCGUGCCAGCAGCCGCGGUAAUACGGAGGGUGCAAGCGUUAAUCGGAAUUACUGGGCGUAAAGCGCACGCAGGCGGUUUGUUAAGUCAGAUGUGAAAUCCCCGGGCUCAACCUGGGAACUGCAUCUGAUACUGGCAAGCUUGAGUCUCGUAGAGGGGGGUAGAAUUCCAGGUGUAGCGGUGAAAUGCGUAGAGAUCUGGAGGAAUACCGGUGGCGAAGGCGGCCCCCUGGACGAAGACUGACGCUCAGGUGCGAAAGCGUGGGGAGCAAACGGGAUUAGAUACCCUGGUAGUCCACGCCGUAAACGAUGUCGACUUGGAGGUUGUGCCCUUGAGGCGUGGCUUCCGGAGCUAACGCGUUAAGUCGACCGCCUGGGGAGUACGGCCGCAAGGUUAAAACUCAAAUGAAUUGACGGGGGCCCGCACAAGCGGUGGAGCAUGUGGUUUAAUUCGAUGCAACGCGAAGAACCUUACCUGGUCUGGACAUCCACAGAACUUUCCAGAGAUGGAUUGGUGCCUUCGGGAACUGUGAGACAGGUGCUGCAUGGCUGUCGUCAGCUCGUGUUGUGAAAUGUUGGGUUAAGUCCCGCAACGAGCGCAACCCUUAUCCUUUGUUGCCAGCGGUCCGGCCGGGAACUCAAAGGAGACUGCCAGUGAUAAACUGGAGGAAGGUGGGGAUGACGUCAAGUCAUCAUGGCCCUUACGACCAGGGCUACACACGUGCUACAAUGGCGCAUACAAAGAGAAGCGACCUCGCGAGAGCAAGCGGACCUCAUAAAGUGCGUCGUAGUCCGGAUUGGAGUCUGCAACUCGACUCCAUGAAGUCGGAAUCGCUAGUAAUCGUGGAUCAGAAUGCCACGGUGAAUACGUUCCCGGGCCUUGUACACACCGCCCGUCACACCAUGGGAGUGGGUUGCAAAAGAAGUAGGUAGCUUAACCUUCGGGAGGGCGCUUACCACUUUGU
rnacentral:rRNA from 1 species